UACGUAGGAUGCAAGCGUUGUCCGGAAUUAUUGGGCGUAAAGAGCGCGCAGGCGGUAUGACAAGUCAGAUGUGAAAGAGGCCGGCUUAACCGGCAAGGGUCAUUUGAAACUGUCAGACUAGAGUGCAGCAGAGGAUAGUGGAAUUCCCGGUGUAGUGGUGAAAUGCGCAGAUAUCAGGAGGAACACCAAUGGCGAAGGCAGCUCGCUGGGACGUGACUGACGCUGAGACGCGAAAGCGUGGGGAGCAAACAGG
rnacentral:rRNA from 1 species